CUACCCACAAAGAAGCACCUUCUGUUCUUCCAAACCCUGGGCCAGGCCUACACUGAUGAAGAAUUUGAUGAACUAUGUUUUCAAUUUGGUCUGGAAGUUGAUGACAUUACUUUUGAGAAGGAAAUAAGUAAUGAACAAGAUAAUGUAAAGGCAGAAGGGACUUCUAAUGUUCUUUGCAAAAUUGACAUCUCUGUCAAUAGAUAUGACUUCAUGUAUCUGGAAGGAUUGAUUUGAGGACUUCAGGUCUUCAAAGAAAGGAUAAAGGCUCUGGCAUAUAAACAGGUAAUGCCUAAUGGAAAAAUCCAGAAAUUGAUUAUCACAGAAAAGAUAGUUAAGGUAUGCCCUUUACAGUAGCAGCAGUUCUCCAAAAUCUAAAGCUUACUAAAGAUCAAUAUGACAGCUUCAUUGAACAUCAGGAGAAAUUGCAUCAGGAUAUUUGCUGGAAAAGAGCAUUGGUUGCUACUGGAACCCAUUGGACACUUUGUCACCCAUUUACUUGUACUGUGCAAAGUGUCCUUUAGAUAUCAAGUGCAAGCCCUAAAUAAGGCCAAGGAGUAUACAGUCUGUGAGCCGAUGAACAUGUACAAGACUGACAACCACCUUAAACACUAUUAACAUGUCAUUGGAAAUAAACCCCUGUACCCAGUUAUCUAUGAUAGCAAGGGUGUCGUCCUUUCAAUGCCUUCCAUCACCAAUGAGGAUGACUCCAAAAUUAAAUACUAGAAAGGUAUUUAUCAAAUGCACAGGAAGUGACUUUACUAAGGCAAAAAGAGUUCUUGAUAUUAUCUUGACACCAUUUUCAGUGACUAUAUUGAGAACCAAUUUACAAUCGAAGCAACUGAGGUAAUUUUCCUAAUGGAAAAGCAUAUACUUUUCCAAAACUAGCUUACCAAAAGGAGAUAGUGAGGAAAGAUAUAGUGAAAGCUGAUUUCGUUAACAAAAAAAAAAAAAAAAAGAAAUCAGAGAAACUCCAGAAAAUCUUGCCUAGCUUCUGACCAGGAUGUAUUUGAAGUCCAAAGUCAUCGGCAAUGGGAAUCACACUGAGAAUAAAAUCCCUCUGACCACAGCUGACAUUAUCCAUGCAUGUGAUAUUGUAGAAGAUGCAGCUAUUGCUUAUGGAUAUAACAAUAUUCAGAUGACUCUCCCAUAAACACCACAGCUAAUCAAUUUCCUCUUAAUAAGCUCAAAAAAUUUAUCAGACAUGACAUGGUAGCUGAAUCCAUGGUAGACAUGGAUUCACUGAAGCACUCAUCUUUGCUCUCUGCUCCAAGAGGAUAUUUCUGAUAAACUUGUUUUGGAUUAUCUCUGCAACAAAAGCAGUCCACAUAAGUAAAACUAAAACAGCUCAAUUACGCGCAGCAUUCAUUACCCUUCUUGGUGCUCUGAAGACCAUAGAAACAAAUCAGAAGAUGCUCCUUCCUCUAAAACUAUUUGAAAUCUCUAACAUUGUAAUAAAAGAUUCUAGCAGAGAUGUAGGUACAAAAAACUAUGGGCAUCUCUUUGCUGUUUAUUACGACAAGAAUCCUGGGUUUAAGGUCAUCCAUAUGCAUCUGGACGGAAUUACACAGCUGUGCAAUGUACCUCCUGUUGAAAAUAAAGGGGGAUAUGUGAUCAAAUCAUCAAAAGGAACCGCUUUCUUCCCUGGGCAAUGCACAGAGAUCUUUGCCAGGAGUCAAAAUGUCAGGAAGCUUGGAGUCCUUCAUCCUGAUGUUAUCACCAAAUUUGAGCUGACCAUUCCCUGUUCCUCCCUGGAAAUCAAUAUUGAGCCCUUUUUGUGA
rnacentral:lncRNA from 1 species